UUUUCAACAAACAGAGUAUAACCAAAUCAGGUAUUCACACACAACAACCAACAAACAGAGUAUAACCAAAUCAGGUAUUCACAUACAACACCAGAUGCUCACAUACAAAGAGUCAGAUAAUCACAUACAAUACCGAAGAUAAGAACAGAGUUACCCUCCUUCUUCGCGACCGGAGAAGAUCGGCUUCAAACAACAGAGAAAACCCUAGGUAUAAAACCUUAGGUGUAACCUUCGAAAUCCUUACUGGAAAUGUGGUCAGUAAUGUCGGAGAGGCACCCAAAACGUCCACUGAGUGAGUAUCGAGCCACCGGAAAGCAGUAGAACCCUAGGUUAAACCACCAGAAACCCUAGAAGCCGAUAGGUCACCGAGAAACCACCCGAAAUCAGCAGAAAAACUCUCAGAAUGUUCGGGUGAAGAAAAUACACUCAGAUAUCAUGACGAAAAACUCGGAAAAGCAUCCGAUCUAGGUCAGAAGCAUCAUUGACCAUAAGGUCUCAGAAAAAUCCCCCUGAGUAAGAAUCGAGCCACCGGAAAGCAGUAGAACCCUAGGUUAAACCACCAGAAACCCUAGAAGCUGAUAGGUCACCGAGAACCACCCGAAAUCAGCAGAAAAACUCUCAGAAUGUUCGGGUGAAGAAAAUACACUCAAAUAUCAUGACGAAAAACUCGGAAAAGCAUCUGAUCUAGGUCAGAAGCAUCAUCGACCAUAAGGUCUCAGAAAAAUCCCAAAAAAAAUCUCAAAAAAAAGAGUUCAACCAAGACAACGAGAUGUAGAGAAACAUAAUCGGAUCGUCGUAUAGGCUCUGAUACCAUGUAAACAUUGAUAUUAGACUGAGAAAUCAUAGAAACUGUAGAGAGAGAAAUUAGAGAGAAGACAGAGCGUUUGGAACUCUCUGGAAAUGAGAGAAAU
rnacentral:lncRNA from 1 species